GGACCCGAGCAGGUGGCUUCAGAUGCCAGAAUAUGAAUAAGACUUGUCAAGAAUCACAAAGUAAGGUCUGACUAGUCAGGGCAGACGGGAGGAAAGAACACUUCCAUCACAGUCUGAUGUGCUUCCUGUGAGCACACCCUUUUCUGGUUCCUCAGGUCUGAUGCCACUGCUGAUGUUCAAAAUAAAGGAGUUGGUGUUGAGUAUGUACUGAGAGGUGUGGACUAGAUGCUGAGCCUAAAGUCUUGAUAAAUUAGGCCUUCCACUUAAAGAGGGAAGGAAUGAACAAGGUCUCCUAGAGGCAGCACUGAGCCUCAGAUUGGAAGGCGGGGGAGCAGAGGUAUUAAAAUCUGACAGGUCCGGAGGGCUUGGAAUCUGCUCUCGGGCAGUUAAAGUGCAGUCCAGCCAACUGGCUAGUCCCAGUGGGGACAGAGCCCUUGGUAGUCUCAUGCCACCCACACAACAGCCUCUGGGCCUGGCUCCUGACAGCCUGGUGAAGCCGCUUGUGAACCUCUGAGUUUCUGGGCUCUGCCAAGGCUGGGCCAUUACUCCUGGGAGUGGGUGAGUGGGUUUGGCUGGAGACGAUGGUGACUUGGACAGCUGGCUGUGUGUCAGUGCAUGCCCGGUUUGCAGUGUGUGGUUACAUAUUUCCAUGUCAUUUGAAGAUGAUACUAUCUGCUCAUUUGCAGAAAUUGGACGUUUCUAGACCUGUGAUUUGAUGAGAACAUAGCUCUGGAGCUCCACCAAGGUGGUGGGUGAACUUUUCUUCCUGAGGGUGCUGGACUUUCCACACACGCCCCCAUGGGAGGGGACCCAGGGGACUCAAGCUGUUGGUCCAAGGUAAAAGGCAGUGGUCUCCAAACAUGACAGGCUCUACAUUCAAAUCACUUGGGGAGCAGCUUAAAGUACAGAUUGCUCGGCCCACCCAACUCGGGAUGGGGACUGCAGGGUGACUGGGAGACCACCUGGAAAAAGUAAAAGUACCCCAAUUCCCUCCUUACAGCACAAUCAACUGGGUGAGAGUUUUCAAUGUAACAGAUUAGACCACAAAAUUUAGAAGGAACUGUAAGUCUAAAAAGCUAGAGACAAAUCGAGGAACUAAUACAUGUGAAAGGGGUUAGUGUCCUUCAUAUGAAAAGAGCUCCAACAAAUCAAUAAAAAGCACAAUACCAGGCUGGCCCGGUGGUGCAGUGGUUAAGUUCACACAUUCUGCUUUGGUGGCCCAGGGUUCACUGGUUCAGAUCCCAGAUGCAGACAUGGCACUGCUUGGCAAGCCAUGCUGUGGUAGGCAUCCCACAUAUAAAGUAGAGGAAGAUGGGCAUGGAUAUUAGCUCAGGGCCAGCCUUCCUCAGCAAAAAGAGGAGGAUUGGCAACAGAUGUUAGCUCAGGGAUAAUCUUCCUCAAAAAAAAAAAAAAAA
rnacentral:lncRNA from 1 species